GGUUGCGAUCAUACCAGCACUAAUGCACCGGAUCCCAUCAGGAACUCCGCAGGUUAAGCGUGCUUGGGCGAGAGUAGUACUAGGAUGGGUGACCCCUUGGGAAGUCCUCGUGUUGCAACCC
rnacentral:rRNA from 1 species